GAUUGUUGAAAUCAGGCACGUGAUAUUGGAGAUAAGCACUGUCGCUGGAAGGUGGCAGCAGCUCGUCCUCUCUGGAGCCACCAUAUGUUGACGACGGGGCACUUACACUCCGUGUGGUGUUUCUGUCAGCUGCCGCGACGAUCACUUGGCGACGACGACGACGACGAUGAUGGUAAUCACACCACAUCAGAUGCACGGUACCGUUGCGAAGGGAGACGGUAUUCGAUUCCGCGUGUGCCGAUCAACAGGCAAGAGAAACGCACUGAAUAAACUGUCGACGACCGAAACUACUUACUGAUACUCGGAGGAUUGAGUGGUAGAUAAUUAAAAUCGAUUGGUCCAAAUCGAAUAUGGGAGCAAUCAACUGGCCUUCCUAGAUCCGGUCAAAUUCUUUCGCAUUCGAAGACGUGACUUAGUAGGAUGAGGAAAAGUUGAUCGCAAUGCAUUUAUAUUUUUUCUAGACUCAUGCCAAAGUUACUCGCAUUCGGAACCGUGGCGUACCAGAGUGAGAAAAUAAAUGCUUGCCCACACUUGAAUCGGUGUCAAACUGGCCUUUUCAGACUCUUGCCAAAGUUACUCGCAUUCGGAACCGUAGCGUGCCAGAGUGGAAAAAGUUUGAUCGAUUCAGUAUGAUUUAGACUCCUCGAUUCUAAAUACUAAGUAACUCUUUUCAAAGACUUAAAUUUUCCAAUCAAGCUCCAGCCAACUCCUUUCGCAUUCGAAGGCUUGGGUAAUAGGAGGGAUUAGAAAAGAUUAAGCUUCUCAAAGUGCUUGGUAAGAAGGAUUUCGAGUAGCAAGUGAAUGAGCGUUCUGUAGCUUGUGACGUACAAGGCAAAACUGCUACCGUCUUUAUUGUUCGAUCGCCUUUUAUACUCUCGUCCAGACAUUAUUCGCACCCUCUUUUUACAUGUCUUUUCCUGAUUCCUACGUAAAGCAUAAUUAUUAUAUGUGUAUCGUCCAGAAACUAUGCUCACCCUCUUUACAUCAUUAAUUAACUCAUGAUUCAUCAAAAUUCUAACUUGUAUACAUACAAUCCUGCAAUGAAUCUUUCCAACAAGUUUUGCUUACAAGUUUUGCUAACAAAUAAUUAAUCCCUGAUCAAAACCUUUUCUGGUACUCGACCAUUACAAUACAUUGGAGUUGUGUUCUUGUCUUUACGUUAGUUGUGAGCAUAGAUAAUUGAUUACAAUUUAUAUCCUAUCGGUGCAUGUCUGGAACUAACAAUUACAAAUGGCGUAGCUUGUAUUCUAGUUUAAUGAAUUUCACAAUAUUGCGUAAUUAUAUAUCAUGCUUAUGUGUAAGUGCUAUCCGAUUGCGCAACAUUAAAUCCGAUGGUGAAAUUCCAUACCGCGCUUGCGCAUUUACGCUGUGAAACCGUGAACAUACUUGAAUAUGAUAUCGUUUCUAAUAUGAAUUAGAAUGAUUCAUCCCCACGUAUGCUAUGAGUAUGCGUUCCGGGCUAAUCGAUUACUACGCACGCGCAGUUUGUUCCGUUCUUGAUCAGUCAUCCUCGAUGCUGCGCUAUCGUAGCAUAUCGUAUACAACGUUGUGUGAAAGGUCGCUCGUUUUCAAUUCGAUCUAAUUGAUUUUGCAUAUUGCAAUUUACACUGGUUAUCAUGAAUAUGUGACCAACACGAUUCACAAAACGUUACCUCUACGAUUAUUAUACAAGCUUUUGCGUUAGAUUAUUACAAGCGAUUUGCUUAAUGCUAGAUGUAGGAAAUGAUUGGAAUUAGUGUGCUCUA